CAAUCUCCAAAUUCACCUAAUUACCUCAUAGGUUCAGCUUUUGUCGGUUAACAUUUCAUUUUUGUUGUUGUUCAAAUGAAGAGCAGGACAAUCAGGAGACAGAUCCCCUCCCCAACUAUUUAUAAAGUCUCUCACUGAACCCCGACUUACCACUGGCUGGACUGGCUGGCCAGAGAGCCCAGAAGAUCCUGUUCCCACCACCCCAGUAUGGGGGCUACAGGCACACGCCACAAGUGCUUAGCUUAUUUAUUUACUUUGAGCUCUAGGAUAAAAACCAGGUCCCUGUGCUUCUGCACAAGCACUGAGCCGUGUGCCCAGCCAGCCCCGGAGCUUUUAAAUAAUUCCAACUAUUCUAGUUCUCUCUGCAUGUCUGUCUCCUGCUCUCUUGCAUUUCUUUUUUGAUGAAGGAUUAAUGCAUUGGUUUCUGUUUUGUUUUUUCAGUUAAAUGCCACCACACUAAAUCAAAAUUCUAAAGUGUGUGCAACUUGUUUUACACACACACACACACACACACCUGUUACAUUUAACCUCAAGCAAUGUCCAAGAUUCAUAUUACAGUCAGUCAUUAAGUUUUCUUAGGGCUCUCGGUGUCACUUGGAACCAAAGUGUGUGCUUAGCAUGCCAUUGAGCAAGUACCAAAAAUAGACAGAGCCAGCAUUUUUCUCAAGCCAGCAAGUUCAGUUCACCCAGCAUCCAUAGACUGAGUGCGUGCACAGGGUGCUGGCUGUCCACUUCUGUUUAGCACGCCACCAGGUUCUCCACCUUCCUUGCUUGUCAACACACCAAACACACUUCUGUGGCAGGCAGGCUGGCCUGUCGGCUGCUGCUCUCUAGCUUGGAAUGCCCUUCCAGAGCUGUGUGAUUCAUGCCCUAACCUGGAGGAAAUAAGAGUGUGUCCCUUGAUGUAUUACAGAUGUGUACACACACACACACACACACACACACACACACACACACACACACACACACGCUCACCCUCCCCCACUCAUCCCCUCCUGUCCUUCUCUAUACAUCCGAGAGCCUGACACACAUAUAGUGAUAUGCUGUGUAUAACGGCACCAGACCACACACACCAGCUUAAUGUCGACACUGAAGCUGAGUGUGCAAAAGUACAUCUGUGACGUCCACACACAAGCAACGAUGCGUUUCUCAGAACACCUCUCGGUCAUGGGGUGACAUGUGACUGGAUUUAUCUAUGCUGGCGUUCACUGUCUUCCCCCACCACCAAGAAUCUGCUCUAUAGCUAAGAAGGACAUCAUUCGUCUACUGUUACAUCCCCGGCACACGGAGGACCGUAAAAAAAACUUCAUGAACGUGUUCCUGUUUUGUGAGGCAGGCACAGCACUGCUCAACUGCUUCGCAGCCAGGAGAGGCUGAAGCAACAUACAUAUGUGACACACUGCCCUAUAAUGUUGUUGGGACAAAGGACCAUGAGACUACAGAGUUUUGAGCCACGGUGGCAAGGGUGGAAUGUGGCUGGCCUAUCUACUAUUGAUUUCAAAGCCUGCAUAGGCGUCGCUGUCCAACAGCAGAUUCAGAGAACACGUACACCAUCAUCACUCAGAGAUGAAAAACGUUAACUUGACGCUGCAAGUGCACGAGUCACAGGCACCGUCUGCUCGGAUGACCGUGACGUGAGAAAGAUGAAACACAGCGAUUGCUGAACCGCACCGACUUCCUGAAACCUGGGAGGCUUUUGGCUUGUGCUUCUUCCCACCUUGCAUAAUGACUUGUCAGCUGUUGAGUGAAAAGGCUCGUGGAUAGGAUGGGGCUGUUCUGACAGACUAACAGGUGUCUUCAUGACCAGUGUCACAGCAGUCUGUUUUGGUAUGUUCAUGAGAGUGCAAAUGCCCUUGGCGUUGUGUUUCGGGCCAUUGUGAGCCACCACCUCAGGGUUUGAGACUUACCAUUUAUUGGAUAAAAUCAUUGCUGCCUCAACUCCAUUUCAGAUCUUCAUGGUGGUGUGGAGAUGUCAUAGUGUGAGCUUCUGAUUGUGUUGCCCUCAAACUAUUGCCAGGGCCAUUGCAACAGCCCUGAACCUAGCCCCACCACCAUCUGGCCGCAGAGGUCACCUUCUCAAGGUGAAGUCGCCUUCCUGGGGUGUCCCCAGCCAGGUCCCUGAACUGACACACUGGAUUAAUCCUUAAGUGAAGAGACAAGGGUAUGUGUCCACCUAGAGAUGGAUUUCAUUCUGAUACUACAGGCAUGAACCACCUUGCCCAGUACCCUUAAGUUGCCCCUGUGUAUUUCUGUCUGUCACCCUUGGUUUCUACACUUUCAAAGCUGAAGGGCUAGCUCAAAAGCCAAGUCAUUCUAGAACUCCUAAAAUAGUUUCUUUUUAAAUCCUUAAACAACAUCCUACAUUUGCUC
ensembl:lncRNA